rnacentral:snRNA from 1 species
GUGCUUGCUUUAGCAACACAUAUACUAAAAUUGGAACAAUACAGAGAAGGUUAGCAUGGCCCCUGCACAAAAAUGACACAAAUUCGUGAAGUGUUCCAUAUUUUU